UGAGAUCUGGGCUGCUCUUAACUCC
rnacentral:piRNA from 1 species